UAGGAUCUUAUGUCAAGCAAGAUCACCCACUGAGUUUAAGCAUAUCAAUAAGUGUAGGAAAGAAAACAUGCUAGGAUUCCCCUAGUAAUGGUGAGUGAACCAAGAAGAGCCCAACUUAAGAAUCGAGCACCCUCGACAUUCGAUUUAUAGCCUAGAGAAACGUCCUCAAUGGUGGAUCAAGCCUAAGUCCCUUAUAAAGAAGAGCCAUAAAGGGUGAGAGCCCCAUUGUGCCUAGACCCUAUCGUACCCUUAGGCACUAACUGUGAGUUAGGAUGUUUAGGAAUACAACCUCAAUUGGGCUAAAAAUUUCAUCUAAGGCUGAAUACGGGUGAGAGACCAAUAGCAAACAAGUAUAGUGAGGAAAAUAUGAAAUGGACUUUGAAAAGAGAGUAAAAAAAUGCUUAAAAUUGUUAGAAGGGAAACGGAUAGAGGCUGGCAAUGUGCCCAAGUCGAACAUAGAAGGUCAAGAGUUAGUUUAUCAUCAGCUUGGGGAAUAGACUAAUACAGGUCACAACGGUGGCCCAAGAUUAGGCUUUUGACAUGCCUGUGGAGACAUUAUCAUCAUGAUCAUGAAUUGCAACAUGAGCCAUCUUAGGAUGCCUCAAUACUAGCAUACUCCCGGUGUUGGCCUAUAGGCUCCCUAUCUAGCCUAUCUUGAAACAUGGACAAAGAAGUCUAACAUUUGUGUGAGUCAAUAGGUUAGAAAACCCAUAAAGUGUAAAAAAGCUGAUUGGCAGGAUCCUUUGAAGGUGCACUAUUGAUUGACCUUGAUCUACUAAGAAGGCUUCAAUGUGAGCAUGCCUAUUAGGACCAAAUAAAUGGUGAACUAUGCCUAAGCAGGGCAAAGCCAGAGCAAACUCUGGUAGAGGCCCGCAAUGAUACUAAUGUGUAAAUUCUUCAUCUAACUUGGGUAUAGGAGCAAAAGACUAAUCAAACCAUCUAAUAGCUGGUUCCUUUUAAAGUUUCCCUCAGGAUAGCUGGAGCCCUUAGUGAGUUCUAUUGGGUAAAGCCAAUGAUAAGAGACAUCAAGGGUGUAACACUCUCAACCUAUUCUUAAACUUUAAAAGGGUAAGAUGGUACAGUUGCUUCAUUGAGCCAAGCCACAAAAUCGAAAGCUCUUAGUUGGCUAUUUUUUGUAAGAAAAACUAGUGAUGUGGGAUGAACAAAAAAUUGGGUUAUAGUCCCCAACCGCAUGCUAACCUAGAACCCACAAAGUGUGUUGGUCAAUUAAGAUAGUAGAAUAGUGGUCAUAGAAGUCGAAAGCCACUAAGGAGUGUGCAAUAACUCACCUACCAACUAGCCCUAAAAAUGGAUGGUCUUAAGCAUGUAACCUAUACCCGACCAUCAGGGGAAGGGUCAGGCCUCGAUGAGUAAGGGGGCAUGGUAGUUGCUACAAAACCCAAGGCAUAAGCCUAGGUGGAGUGGCCAUCAGUGCAUAUCUUGGUGGUAUUAGCAAAUAUUCAAAUGAGAACUUUAAAGGCCAAAAAGAGGAAAGGUUCCAUGUGAAUGGCACUUGCACAUGGGUUAGUUGAUCAUAAGAGACAGGGGAAGCCCACCAACAGUGCGUCCAGUGAAAGCCUCAAAAGAGAAUUGGGUUAAAAUCCAGAACCAAGAUACAAUGGCAAACAACAAUGUUAGGGAGUGCAAAGACAAUGGCAGGGGCCUCAGGAAGAGUUAUCUUUUCUAUUUAAUAGCCUACCCACCCUAGAAAUGGCUUAGCCAAAGGUAAGGUCCAAUGGGCAAAAAAACACCAUACAUUAUGUAAUGCCUAGUACACCCCUAGCUACCUUUGAAAAUCUAAAGGACCGAGUGUUGUACACACCCAAUCGUACUCAUAACCGCAUCAGGUCUCCAUGGUGAAUAGCCUCUGGUCAAUAGAAUAAUGUAGGUAAGGGAAGUUGGCAAAAUAGAUCCAUAAUCUAAGGAAAAGGAUUGGCUCGAAGGCUAGCCACAAGGGUCCCAGUCUCAAACCCAUCAGUUAUUGGUGCACUGCUCGAGUUGCUCUUAUCGUGAGAGUGGGUUGCCACAUGCUAGUUGGUGGAUGGACUAGGAACGGCUCACUUAGGGGCCUUCCUUGGGUGAUGGACAGCCAACUCAAAACUAGUAUAGACAAGGGGAAUUUGAUCAUUUAAUUAAAACAAAGCAUUGUGAUGGUCCCUGUGGAUGCUCACGUAAUGUGAUUUCUGCCCAAUGCUUUGAAUGAAAAAGUGAAGAAAUUUAACCAAGCACAGGUAAAUGGUAGGAGUAACUAUGACUCUCUUAAGGUAGCCAAUUGCCUCGUCAUCUAAAUUACUGAUGCACACGAAUAGAUUAACGAGAUUCCCAUUGUCCAUAGCCAAAGGGAUUAGGCUUAGUAGAAUUAGCAGGGAAAGAAGAUCAUGCUGACCUUGACUCUAGUCAGAAUUUAUGAAAUGACUUGAGAGGUGUAAGAUAAGUUGGAGCCCUUAAGUGAAAUUGAAAUACCAUUACUUUUAACAUUAUUUUACUUAUUCUGUGAAUUAGAGAUGAUGCAUGACCCUCUUUUUUAGAUCCAAGGUUAGCCUCAGUUGGUCGAUCCAAGCAAAAGAUAUUGUUAGGUGGGGAGUUUGGAUAGGGUGGCACAUUUGUUAAUAGAUAACACAAGUGUCCUAAGAUAAGCUUAAUGAGAACAAAAAUCUUGUGUGGAACAAAAGGGUAAAAGCUUGUUUGAUUCUAAUUUCUAGUAUAAAUAUGACUUUGAAAGCAUAGCUUAUCGAUCCUUUAGACCUUCAAAAAUUGAAGCUAAAGGUGUCAAAAAAGUUACCAUAGGGAUAACUGGCUUAUAGUAGCCAAGCAUUCAUAAUGACAUUGCUUUUUGAUCCUUCGAUGUCUGGUCUUCCUAUCAUUGUGAAGUUGAAUUCACCAAGUGUUGGAUUAUUCACCCAACAAAAGAGAGCAUGAGCUAAGUUUAGAUCAUCAUGGGACAUGUUAGUUUUACCCUAGUGAUGGUAGUGAUAUAAUAGUAAUUCAACCUAGUACGAAAGGAACUGGUGAUUCGCACAAUUGGUUAUCACCUUUGGUUGAAAAGCUAAUGGCACAAAGCUACUGUGCACUAGAUUAUGAUUGAAUGCCUUUAAAUCAAAAUCUAGGCUAGAAGCAAUGCAUGCACUUGUCACCCAAUUGUUAACCCUUAAUAAGGGCCUAUGGUCCUCAAGUGUGUGUGGUGUAGGUGCAGGCCUUAUAGCAGACAAGCUGUACGAGCCUCUUUGGAACUCAAUUCCCAUCGAGCGAUGGGUAAAAUC
rnacentral:rRNA from 1 species